UUUUUAAUAUGCAUUUUUAUCUUAUUAUCGAGAAGAGCAUUUGUUAUUGGACUACAGCACUUAACUUCACUGCAGACUAAUUAGAGCCAUUUUACAACUAUUAUUGUUGAUAAGGGCCAAAGAGGUCUGCAGAGAGACUUGUAUUGUCCAGGCUAUUUCUUGGCAUGCAGUUAUGUCCAUGUGGGUGAGUAAUUCUAGCUCCCUUGCAAUGUCUCCUUGACAACUAACAAUAAUACACCUCCUCUUAAUAGCGCAAGAAAUCACACACAAGAUGUGUAGAGGCACACUUGGAAUGUGUGUGUGUGUCUGCUGUGUAUCUGUAUACGUGGACGCAUUGGUCACACAUGCAUAAUGCACCUUUACGUACACGCAAAAACACCUUCAUGCAGUCAGACCUUAGAUCGUGUUCACGACAGCAGCCUACAUGUGAGUUUUUUUGCCCAGGAAGAGAGACUGGACCAGGGGGAACACCUUAACAGGUAGCCCUGGGGUGCUUAACAUAGUCCGGGCAGCCAGGGGGAGAGAGUGGCUCUGGGAAGCCGUACCACCACUAUCCUCUCUGUCCACUGAUUAUGAAGCAGGUCCCAGACGGGUGCCUUUAGGAACCCCCCAGGCUACUCACAGCCUCCUUCUCCUCUGUUACAGGAUCUGUCGCUGGGGGAUUCGACUGAAGUGUGAAGAGGGGUGUAUGCAGGAGACAUGCUGAGAAUUCUAAAUAGUCCCCCAGCCAGCUCCCCGGGCCCCCGAAGAGGAACCAGCGGCAUGAUGUCACACACCUGUUUGGCUGGAGGCUGCGGCCCGGCGAUGCUUGCAGCCGUGGGUGUCGCGCUGGCACCCCUCGGCCUCCCCCAACCCCACCUCACCCCACCCUUGUCGCUGCCUGCUACGCCCCGUGGAUGUGUCAAAAUGGCAGAUGAUGGUUGGGGUGUGUGCAGCUGCUUGGGAAGAGGAGUGCCAAGGGCGCUCAUUUCCUGCGGAAACUCUUGGAAGGCAAAAGCAACAUCCUGAGUUGGUGAGGAGACAGGAGAGGUGCUGACAUGCCGACAGGCAGGGGAUCCUGGGAAAAGCCACAGACAGGAAGAGCCUGACUGACUUUGACCCCUGAGGUCAAGGCUGGGGGCUCGGCAACUGAAAGAUGUUUCCAAGCCACACUCAGACUAUCAUAGAGUUUUACAGGAAAUAGCUUAGAAAUACUGUACGCUGUGAAAUGUGGGAGAUCUUUUUAUUGCUUGCUCUUUUGUUUUGCUCUCUGUGAUAUAAAAUGCAUUUUGGCCCUGAGCUAUAUUUGACUUAUUUGUUUGAGGGUUACCAUAUGUAAUUGAGUUGAGCUCUAGUCUAUUUGUUUUCUCUAUAAUGUGAAAAACUACAUUCAUAUAUAUAUAUAUAUAUACGUCAAAAUAUAUAGGGGUUUUUUUCGUCUGUGAAUUUGCAGUGACUAAUAGAAUUACAGCUAAUGGGGAAGGUGGAGGCUGGGAUAAAAGCUUAGUGUUACU
rnacentral:lncRNA from 1 species